CCCCGCCAGCACAUCGCCCAUAUCUGCACCUUCUUCUUCUUCCAGUAGCUCAUCCUCCACCACGGCACCGCCGCCUGCACCCUCCGUAUCGUUGAGAACGAUCGUGGCCUUGACUUCUUCUUCUUCACACUGCCAAGUUCGUCAAUUUCAUCUCCGACGUCGUCUCCAUCUGCUCCCACUACGACAAGCAGAUCGAGUGCCUGAGUGGACGAGAAAAUAGAGAGGAGAGAAGGUGGAGAAUGAGGGGGAGUAGGAGGGC
rnacentral:lncRNA from 1 species